AAUACCUUACAAGCUAAAACAAGAAUAUAAUCUACAAAUUAUCUUCAACUAUACACAAUGCAAAGACUAAUAUUAUUGUUGUGAUACAAACUAAAAAGAAAAUAACCCCAAUUUUCUGUAAAAUGACAGCGCUCACACCUCUUCUAGAACGCACUGUGUUAUAGAUGGAGAAAAUGUAAUCUCAAUCCCGAAUCCCAAGCUCAACCUCAAGAUCAUCAUCUUCUUCAAAGAGCUUUAGGAGACGAGCUUGCUGCUCUUCCCUUUUCUUCUUCUGCCAUAUCUUGAAAAGGACAUAACAAAAUCCAACAGAAGCUAAAAUUCCAAGGCACACUAUCACUACUCUCACUCCGGUGGAAAUUCUGGAUGAAUGACUUUUCCCUUUACUUUCAUUUGAUGUUGAUGAGGAAUCUGCCGAACCUUUAUAAACACCACGAAGGAUGACUCAGCAUGUUAACCAUUAAUAGAGAUCAGAUAACAAUUUCUCAUUAGGGGUGGCAACGGGGUGGGGGCGGGGCAGGUAUAGUCAAACCCACAAAAUUCUCAACCCCCCCCCCCAUAUCAUUUUUUUUCUUUUUUAACCGG
rnacentral:misc_RNA from 1 species